rnacentral:rRNA from 1 species
AACGAACGCUGGCGGCAGGCUUAACACAUGCAAGUCGAGCGAAGUUUUAGGACUUAGCGGCGGACGGGUGAGUAACGUGUGGGAACGUGCCCUUGGGUAAGGAAUAACAGUUGGAAACGACUGCUAAUACCUUAUGAUGUCUACGGACCAAAGAUUUAUCGCCCAGGGAUCGGCCCGCAUUAGAUUAGGUAGUUGGUGGGGUAAUGGCCUACCAAGCCGACGAUCUAUAGCUGGUUUGAGAGGAUGAUCAGCCACACUGGGACUGAGACACGGCCCAGACUCCUACGGGAGGCAGCAGUGGGGAAUCUUGGACAAUGGGGGCAACCCUGAUCCAGCCAUGCCGCGUGAUCGAUGAAGGCCUUAGGGUUGUAAAGAUCUUUCACCGGGGACGAUAAUGACGGUACCCGGAGAAGAAGCCCCGGCUAACUCCG